rnacentral:lncRNA from 1 species
GGUCGAUGGCUGGAGGAAGAAAUGAGAGGAUCUCCAUACCGAGGCCUUGGCUUCUACGUCCUUUCUCGAAGUGUUUGGAGUGCAGAUUUCUGAUUCUGUGCCCAGCCUCCAGGGACACAGUACACAGUAUACUGGGAAUGAUGAUGAGGCGAUGGAAGCACAGAGAGUUAAGUGACGUGUCCACAGUCACACAACUUGCCCAAGGUUAUAUGACUAGUAUGUGGCAAAGUCAAGAUGCAAAGCCAGGUCUGUGUGAUUUUAAAGCCUGUGCUGAUGAUCCCUCCACUUCCUGUCUCCCAGCACCUGACUGUGCACGUGGACUGCUCCAUCAGGAAUCUUUGUUGCACUACGUCCCCUCAUGACCUCAUCAGUCAGCGUGGGACGCUCCCAUCCCCAGAUCAACGC